AUACCCUACGGGGGGCAGCAGUGGGGGAUAUUGGACAAUGGGGGAAACCCUGAUCCAGCGAUGCCGCGUGAGGGAAGAAGGUUUUCGGAUUGUAAACCUCUGUGGAGGGGGACGAUAAUGACGGUACCCCUUUAGGAAGCCACGGCUAACUACGUGCCAGCAGCCGCGGUAAUACGUAGGUGGCGAGCGUUGUCCGGAAUUACUGGGUGUAAAGGGAGUGUAGGCGGGAAAGCAAGUCAGGAGGGAAAACUAUGGGCUUAACCCAUAGGCUGCUUUUGAAACUGGUUUUCUUGAGGGAA
rnacentral:rRNA from 1 species